AGCGAACGCUGGCGGCAGGCCUAACACAUGCAAGUCGAACGGCAGCACAGUAAGAGCUUGCUCUUACGGGGGGCGAGUGGCGGACGGGUGAGGAAUACAUCGGAAUCUACUUUUUCGGGGGGGAUAACGUAGGGAAACUUACGCUAAUACAGCAUACGACCUACGGGGGAAAGCAGGGGAUCUUCGGACCUUGUGCGAUUGAAUGAGCCGAUGUCGGAUUGGCUAGUUGGCGGGGUAACGGCCCACCAAGGCGACGAUCCGUAGCUGGUCUGAGAGGGGGGACCGCCACACUGAAGGUGAGACACGAUCCAGGCACUUAGGGGAGGCAGCAGUGGGGAAUGUAGGACACUGGGCGGAAGCCUGCUCCAGCCAUGCCGGGUGGGUGCAGAAGGCCUGCGGGUUGUAAAGCCCUUUUGUUGGGAAAGAACAGCAGCAGGUUAAUCCCCCGCUGUUCUGACGUUACCCAAAGAGUAGGCACCGCCUAACUUCGU
rnacentral:rRNA from 1 species